AUCAACACUUCCCCCAUUUGCAAAAGAUUGUCCGAAUUCCCCAAUUGAACCUAAGACUAAAACAAUCUUGUCUCUCAUCUCCCCCACCAAACAACGCCACCCUUGAGCGAAUCAGCCAUGGUUGCCGGCGAUAUAGCUCCAAUCACCACCAGAAAUUGGUCAUGCAAUCAUCACCCCUUCCUGCACCCUAUUCCAUCACCAUUUUUCCCAAAACCCCUGCCAAAUCGGACUGUUUUCAAAUCUGAGAUUGAAGGAGAAGAAAGUCUCUCGAGCCCUCAAGUCCUGAUGAAUGGCUGGGUUCGAAACGAGUAUAGCUCGUUUGCUCUCAAAAGGAACACACGACUAAUACUAGUUUCGAGCCGAGUCGGAAUCGUUUGAAGUCUAUCAAGCUUUGUGGCCGUCGAGGUAUUCGUCUUGUUCCGGUUCUUUUCGCCUGCUUCAGGUACACAUUUAAGCUCUAUUGUUUGUGAAGUUGGAUUUGCAGAAUGAAAUGAAAAGCAGUAGUUUGAAGUGUAGUAUCAGCUUAUUUGUGAUUCAUCUGUAUUGCUUUUGGAUAUUGUGUUUCUUUUAGUAGCCUGAUGUGGUUUAUUGUCCAGUUAAGUUCUGGUUUGGAUAAGAAGCUUUGCAAUUAUAUUUAAUUGGGUAGUGUCAUGAAAAUUGAGGGGAAACAACUUGUUUAGUCAUCAGUAGUUUAGACUUUGCACUCAAUCAUGAUUUUAUAUAAUGUGUGCUAGUUAAGGACCGUGAUUCCGUUGGGUUGAGUGUGAGUCUGGCUGUAUGGAGUGCAUUUUCAUAGCUAUAAGUCCUAUGCUUAUCAAUUCACUUAUUCAUGCUAUUAGCCCAAUGAAUCUAGUUUCAGCCGUCUUUCGAUUAACUAUGUGUUCUGGAUUCGCUUAUAUAUAGCAGGAAUACAGUCCUACUAACUUUCAGGAAUUUGAAACUUAGUUUUCCCCCUUGUUCAUGUAAAGACAUGUUGAAUUUUAAAAGGAUUUUCAAAUGGA